rnacentral:rRNA from 1 species
UAUUGGGCAAUGGGCGCAAGCCUGACCCAGCAAUGCCGCGUGAAGGAAGAAGGCGCUCGGGUUGUAAACUUCUUUUAUCAGGGACGAAGGAUGUGCCGGUACUUGAUGAAUAAGCUCCGGCUAACUACGUGCCAGCAGCCGCGGUGAUACGUAGGGAGCAAGCGUUAUCCGGAUUUACUGGGUGUAAAGGGCGCGUAGGCGGGAUGGCAAGUCAGAUGUGAAAUCCAGGGGCUCAAACCCUGAACUGCAUUUGAAACUGUCGUUCUUGAGUACUGGAGAGGUUGACGGAAUUCCUAGUGUAGCGGUGAAAUGCGUAGAUAUUAGGAGGAACACCAGUGGCGAAGGCGGUCAACUGGACAGCAACUGACGCUGAGGCGCGAAAGCGUGGGGAGCAAACAG